UCCUCGCCGGCCCAGACGGGGAAGACGAAGAUGGUGGUGCAGAGGCAGGUAAGGACGCCGAUGACGAUGGUGGAGAAGCGCUGGUGCGCCAGCUGAAUGAGCUCCUCCACGCGGUAGCUCGACACGGCCACCAGGCUGAAGGUGAGUAUGAAGAUGGUCACGCCGUAG
rnacentral:rRNA from 1 species